GGUAAGUUCUGAGGUUUCACCAAUGAACUACACUCAAGGGAAUUACAGGAAGUUUGAAACCAAAUUAAACUGUUACAAUCUGCAUUCAAAAGCAACCUUUGCAGUCCAGCCUGCUGACAUCCCUGAGCGAUAAGAAGGCCAUAUCCUAAUUCAAAAAUAACAAAGCCUUUGGAGUAGACGACAUCAUCACUGAAAUUUUAAAACUCAGUGAUGAAGAGCCACCGCUGAGGAAACUGGAGCACCUGGAGGAAACUUGCACAGUCACAGAGAAAACACUCAAACUGCAAAGACAGCACUCAAGCAAGGUUGAUGUAAGAGCAGUCCCAAGAGAAGACAGAAGUGGAUGGAUGCAUAAGAAUAAAAGAAAGCAUGAUGAGAAGAAAUGGAUGACAGUUAACAAACUGCACAAAGGAACAUUCAUAGGGUUUUACAGCACGGAAAUAGGCCCUUCAGCCCAACUCAUCAAUGCUGACCAAGAUUCCUAUCUACACUAAUCUCAUUUGCCUGCAUAUGGCUCAUACCCAGCCUGUGAAGGCAAGGAUUCCUAAACCUUCAAAAUCUAAGCAAAUGUAAGGUCAAGAAAUGCUGGGGCUCUGAGGUGAUCUGUGCCUUUACUGCUCUGUUUGAGGACCAUGAAUAGGAGGGUUUCCUCCAAGCCAAACAAGCUCCUUCCCACCUCACCCACGCUCAAGAAGCAGGACUCUCUAAAAACAAAACAGAAUUUUGUAUUUCCCAUCCAAGUAUCUUAUCCCAAUUACUUCCCAAGCAUAAGUAAAAACUGAGGCCAAAGAUUUUAGGGAUGAAUAGGAAUGUGGGAGUGACCAAACUUGUGAGUGAGAGCUGAUUAGUGAUAGCUCACUCAUUUAAGGCUGACUGCAUGUGUUCAAAUGGAGGAUAGUUAAUCAGAUUAAAAAUAGCCACACAUAAAUAUAUCAUUUUAGUAAUAUUUCAUUAUGUCACUCUGUUAAAAAAUUGACUGUUUCAAUAAGGCAUUAAAAUCACUGGAGAUAACGGACAGUAAUUAAUACCUGGAUUGGAAAAAUAAGCCUGCUUAAUUACCAACUCCAGGACUAAGCACCCAUUAAGUCACUUCAACCCAUGACAAAUACUAAUUUCCAUCACCAACAAAGAGACUGCAGCAACAUCUGCAAAUCUUCUUCUCAGAAAUGCUACAUGAUAUAUUGCUGAGUUAAAGGUACUGAUUUUAUUACAGGCUUCAGGGCUUUCAUAUCUCUUUGAUUUCAAAUUAAGACUUUCUAAACUCAAAAAUAGAAUUCUUCUGCUGCAGCUCACAAAAAACCAUAGAGCACAGGAGGUGGUCAUUUGGUCAAUCAAGCUUAAAUGGCCUCUUUUGACUGCCAUCCAGUUAUUUCCACUCUCCUGUCCUUGCUCCAUAUCCCUGUGAAUUUUUUGCCUUCAACUAUUGAUCCAAGUCCUUUUCAAGUCCACUAUUGAAUCUGUAAUCAGCACCCAAUCAGUCAAUGCCUUCCAAAUCCCAGCAACUCAUUGUAUUAAGAAGCUUUUCCUUUUCACUCAUGGUUAUUUUGCCAGUCACUCAAAUUUCUGCCCUCUGAUUAUCAACUCCUCUGUCACUGGAAGUAGUUUCUCUUUGAGGUCUAUUUAAACUUGCUAAGAUUUUAAAUACCUCUAAAUUUCUUUGCAUUCUCUGCUCCAAUCUCAGUGUCACUAGUCCACCCAUCUGUCUGUAAUCCUUUGCACCCAGAACCUUUCCAGCAAAUCUUUUUUGUUCUCACUUCAAAGUCUUCAUGCCAUCCUAAAGUAUGGCAUUAGGAACUAGACUAUACUUCUUCUGGGGAUGAACUGUGUUUUAUGAAGGGCUAGCCUAAUUUCCUGGUGUUUGUAUUCGAUACACCCGUAUGUUCCAACAUGCUUUAUUAAUUGCACUGCUAGCCUGUUCAGCCACCUUCAAAAAUAUGUGCACAAACAAUCCCAAGUCUAUAUCUUCUUGCACAGUCUUUAACAUUGUACAACACAGCUUAUAUACAAUUUGUCUUUCAUUAUUCCGUCAAAAAUGAAUCACCUUACACUUCUUUUCAUUGAAUUUCAUUUGCCAUUAAUGUGCUUCAACAGCCCACUUAUUGAAGGUUAUUAGUAUCUUCCUCAAUCUCUACCACAUUGCCAAGUUUUGAAUUAUCUACAGAUUUUAAAACUGUCCUCGUACCUCCAAAUCCAGACCAUCAAAGUAUAUUAAAAGUAGUAGUAGUUUGAGUAGUAUAGCCUGGGAAGCUCCACUGUAUAUUUCCCUCCAGUCCAUAAAGCAGUCAUACACCAGCUCUGUUUUCUAUGCUAUACCCAAUGUGCAUCCAUACUGCGUCUGUCUUUUUACCACAUGUGGUUCAAUUUUGUUCACACACCUCGUAUGUGGUGUUCUAUCCAGCACACCUAAUGCUAAACACUUCAUCCAUGCCUUCAUUACCUCAACUAUUCAGACCCAUCUCUGGCUUACUUUCUUUGUUUUACUUUCCAUAAACUUGAAAAUUCAAAAUUAUAUGGCCCAUAUCCUAACUUGCAGAGUCUCCUUCCAACAUUACCCCCCUGCUGCACUGGCUCCCAGUUACCCAACGCCAAUAUUUUUAAAAUUCUCAUCGUUUUCAAAUCCUUCUUUGGCCUUACCUCUCCAUGUCUCUAUAAUCUCUCCAAUCUUCCCCACUCCAACAGGCUUCUGGGAUAUCUGUAUUUCUCCAAUUCUGGUCUGUUGAGUACUCCCAUAUUUAACUGGUCUACCUUUGCCCUAAUCUCUGGAAUUCCUUCCCUUUGUCUCUCUAUCUUUUUUUCUUAAUCCAUAAGACUCACCUCUUUAUCACUUGCUCUAAUAUCACUUUAAGUGAUGUCAAUUUUGUCAAUGUUUUGUUUUAAAUUUACCUUCAAGUCCCUUUGUGAGGCAUCUUUGGUGCAUUAAAGGCACUGUACACAUGAAGUUAAUGAUCUUGUAAUUUCAUGAAAAUUCCCUAUAAGCAAACUACACUAGCCUCAUCCACUCUCUUCAUCACAUUCAGCAAGUUAUUCAAACAUGCUCUGCCCAUAACAAAUUAUGGUCUUUAAUAGUGCAGACUUAUCAAAGUGGCAAUUAGUUUUCGCCUGGAUUGUAAUUUCUAAAAGCUUCCCACCACUUAAAUUAGAAUUAUUUGCUGUAGUUAUCCCCCCCACCUCACUUUUGGAGCAAGGAUAGGCAGGUAUGGUAGUGUAGUGGUUAGCAUAAUGCUUUAUAGUGUCAGCGACCCGGGUUCAAUUCCCGUCGCUGUCUGUAAGGAGUUUGUACAUUCUCCCUGUGUCUGUGUGGGUUUCCUCCGGGUGCUCCAGUUUCCUCCCACAUUCCAAAGACGUACGGGUUAGGAAGCGGCAGGCAUGCUAUGUUGGCGCUGGAAGCAUGGUGACACUUGGGGGCUCCCCCCCAGAACACUACACAAAAGAUGCAUUUUACUGUGUGUUUCGAUGUACAUGUGACUAAUAAAGAUAUC